rnacentral:misc_RNA from 1 species
CACAUCAUCAUCUCCAUCUCCAUUUCUGUUUCGCUCCUUUUUGGUGCUAUAGUAGCAGCACUAUCUGCUUUCUUCCUCUACUCCCGCCGCCAGCACCACCACUAUGUCAACACCUCCCCUCCGAGAAUAAGUCACGAUCCGACAGCCUUCGUCUUUUCCCACCAAACACUAUCCCUUCCGACGGUUCUCCCAAGCCCCCUAAGCUUCCACCUAGGCCAGGCGUUCCCAACACCAGCUCAGAGUUCCUCUACCUGGGUACAUUAGUAAACUCUCGAAGCGGGAUCGAUGAUCAUCAGAAG